rnacentral:rRNA from 1 species
CGACGCCGCUGGGGGAUGAAGGGCUUCGGCUCGUAAACCCCUGUCAUUUGCGAACAAACCCUUGCAUUGAAGAGGUGUGAGGUUGAUUGUAGCGAAAGAGGAAGGGACGGCUAACUCUGUGCCAGCAGCCGCGGUAAUACAGAGGUCCCGAGCGUUGUUCGGAUUCACUGGGCGUAAAGGGUGCGUAGGUGGUGGGGUAAGUCUCGUGUGAAAGCUCGCAGCUUAACUGCGAAAAGUCAUGGGAUACUAUUCCGCUAGAGGCUUGGAGGGGGGACUGGAAUACUUGGUGUAGCAGUGAAAUGCGUAGAUAUCAAGUGGAACACCAGUGGCGAAGGCGAGUCCCUGGACAAGACCUGACACUGAGGCACGAAAGCCAGGGGAGCAAACAGGAUUAGAUACCCUGGUAGUCCUGGCUGUAAACGGUGCACGUUUGCUGUAAAAGGAAUCGACCCCUUUUGUGGCGAAGCUAACGCGAUAAACGUGCCGCCUGGGAAGUACGGUCGCAAGAUUA